rnacentral:rRNA from 1 species
GACGAACGCUGGCGGCGUGCUUAACACAUGCAAGUCGAACGGAAAGGCCCUGCUUUUGUGGGGUGCUCGAGUGGCGAACGGGUGAGUAACACGUGAGUAACCUGCCCUUGACUUUGGGAUAACUUCAGGAAACUGGGGCUAAUACCGGAUAGGAGCUCCUGCUGCAUGGUGGGGGUUGGAAAGUUUCGGCGGUUGGGGAUGGACUCGCGGCUUAUCAGCUUGUUGGUGGGGUAGUGGCUUACCAAGGCUUUGACGGGUAGCCGGCCUGAGAGGGUGACCGGGGACACAGGGACAGAGAGACGCGGCAGACGCCUACAGGAGGGAGAGGAGGGGAGUAUAGUGCACUGGGGGGAAGCCUGAUGCAGCAACGCCGCGUGCGGGAUGACGGCCUUCGGGUUGUAAACCGCUUUCGCCUGUGACGAAGCGUGAGUGACGGUAAUGGGUAAAGAAGCACCGGCUAACUACGUG